rnacentral:rRNA from 1 species
GAUCCUGGCUCAGAUUGAACGCUGGCGGCAGGCCUAACACAUGCAAGUCGAACGGUAACAGGAAACAGCUUGCUGUUUCGCUGACGAGUGGCGGACGGGUGAGUAAUGUCUGGGAAACUGCCUGAUGGAGGGGGGAUAACUACUGGAAACGGUAGCUAAUACCGCAUAACGUCGCAAGACCAAAGAGGGGGACCGUUCGGGCCGUCUUGCCAUCAGAUGUGCCCACGAUGGGAUUAGCUAGUAGGUGGGG